AGUGGGGAAAACAGCGUUCGGGGGGGCAGCUUUUUAUGCUGAUUUUCUGUAGGCAUGUGGGUCUUGGUGAGUCUUUUUUUAGAGCGGUGUUCCUUCAUAUGGCAUAGUGCCUUCAAAAUCGUUGGUAAAGAAGUAAGCUAACGAAGUUUAUUUAAUCCUGGCAAUUUAGGUAAUCUGGAUAAUUUAGGUAAAACAGUGGAAUGAAUGUCUAGAUGAAUUUCCUAGAUUGGUCUCUCUUUCCCUUCAAAGGGUUCAGGAGUCACCUCUCUUUGCUUCCUCGGAGGUCUCCAGAGCAGUCUUUCUCCAGGGAUGUCCAAGGACCAUGCGAAAUGAUCCAUGAAGUACCGCCAGGCACACAAGUGAGGAAACAACCAAGCGAAGGGAAUUAUGUGAUUGCUGCUGUGUUGCUACAACAAGACCACAACAACACAAGCGAAGUGGAGAGAGUAAAGAAAAUCCAGGCAGUUGCCAGAACGAAUCUGUUCAAACCCUGUUGCUGUAGCUUCUUAGAUGCACAGUCUGCUCUUCUGAAUAUCUACUACCAGAAAAGUAAUGACCCUGGGAGUGAUGGAAAACAAAUCUGA
rnacentral:lncRNA from 1 species